rnacentral:rRNA from 1 species
AUACGUAGGGGGCGAGCGUUGUCCGGAAUGAUUGGGCGUAAAGGGCGCGUAGGCGGCCCGGUAAGUCUGGAGUGAAAGUCCUGUUUUUAAGAUGGGAAUUGCUUUGGAUACUGUCGAGCUUGAGUGCAGGAGAGGUAAGUGGAAUUCCCAGUGUAGCGGUGAAAUGCGUAGAGAUUGGGAGGAACACCAGUGGCGAAGGCGACUUACUGGACUGUAACUGACGCUGAGGCGCGAAAGUGUGGGGAGCAAACAGGAUUAGAUACCCUGGUAGUCCAUGCCGUAAACGGUGGGCGCUAGGUGUAGGGGUCUUCCACGACUUCUGUGCCGUAGCUAACGCAUUAAGCACCCCGCCUGGGGAGUACGGCCGCAAGGCUGAAACUCAAAUGAAUUGACGGGG